rnacentral:lncRNA from 13 species
UGGGUAGUCAUGGCAAUGGGGCCUUCAUUGUGACAUCACAAGAUUCUGAUUCUGGGAGGUUAGCUGUUGCACAGACAAACAGAACAGUGCAAAGAGACUGAUUCAACUAACCACUGACAGAUUAUUCAUGUCCUAUUUCAUUAGCAAGAGAACACGCUGCUUACUUGAGAGAGUUAUUAUUAGCUAGCAGGAAGACAUGGUGGGUUCAACGCUGACACAGAGGAGGGCUGAGUGUCAGUUGAAGGAAAGGGAGAUCCAGACAGACUACAUGAUGGAGCUGGGAGCCAGAUUGGCUCUGGUGAGACAGAUCCAGAGGGAGCAGGAGAAGGAGAUGAAGAGGAUUUGGUUUGAGACGAGGAAAAUGCCAAGCCUGAUUGAGGAGGAUGUCAGAGAUGUGACCAACCGUCCACUUACUGAGUUCAUGGCUCCCUGUAUUGACUCCCUCCCACCACUGGCUUUCACCAAUCGGAGGCCAAUACCAACCAUGUUGCAUCCCCCCUCUCCAUUGGUCAUACGCGCUCAGGAUGCACAGCGAUUCAUUGUAUUCUCCUACUUUGUCCCUGCUGAGUGCCCAGUUUCCACAGAGGCCACAGCAGAUGUAUCUGCUGGUAGAAGAGAGGACUUGUCGACAGAUACACAUCUUUCCUCAAUGCUGCAUCGAUACCUGCCACACUUCUUUAACGAUGACUCCAUUCCACCACAGCAGACAGUAGAGGGAACCACUGAGGUCUCAGUUGCUCCAGUGGCAAUAUCUAAUAUCAAGGAAGAGGACAGAUUCUAUCCUUUCUCCCUCCCACCACUGGCUCAGCGGUUCAUUGGCAAUUCAUUCAAUGUCCCGGAAACCUCCCAGCUUGCAGUUUCAGCCACUGAGUACCGAGUUGCCAAAGAGGCCACUGCAGGUACAGCCACUGUCAAGAGAGAGAACCGAUGGGCAGCUAGAAUUCUUCCUUCAGUGCUGCCUCCAUGCCUGCCACCAGUCUUUGACAAUGACUACAAACUGCCAGGGGCGGCAGUAGAGGGAACCAACAAGUGUCCAGUUGCCAGUGAAGCAGCCGCUUCCGUGUCUACUGUCCUCCAAGAGGAGUUUUUGACUGAUAAUAGUCCUCCUGCACCCGCAGCACUGCCUCUAAGGCUGCCCCGCACCCACAACAUUGACCACAAACAGCCAGAGGAGACCAUUGAGAACACCACAGAGUGCUCAGUUGACAUAGAGGCAUGUGCAGUUGCAUCCACUGUCAAGAGAGAGGAACUGAUGGGUGAUAAAAGCCCUGUCCAUGCACUUCCUCCAAGCCUGGCAUGCAUCCAUGACAAUGACCACAAGCAGCCAGAUCAGAAAGGGAGGGGCACUACUGUGGAGGUGGAUAUCUGCUCUCACACUCACCAGCUGGUCUCAGAUGCUAACUUAACUCUGGCAACCCGCAAUGAUGAGCCGCCCACCCCUCUGAUCUGCGUUGUCACUAAGACGCCUGUUAGAGUUGGAGCCUCCAUAUGCAGGACAGAGGAUGAGGAACCCAGGCCCAGGACCCUGGAAGAGGCAAAGGAUUAUUGGAUAGGCAUUGAAAAUGAGAGUGAAGAGAGAAGCGUCACUGAGGAGGUGAGCCCGAGGGAGGGAUUGAAGAGUGAGGCGGAUUGUGCCCAUUCCAAGUGCUCCAAUGGGACGGUUUCAUCAGAGAGAGCAGAGACCAUCCUGGGAAGAGUGGGCUUUCUGCUCAUGAACCAAAUGCAGAAAAUCCCGUCUUUGAAGAUGAAGGAAAAAGAGAAAAAUAAGAAACUGAAUAAGAAGUUGAAAGAUGACGAGAAAGAGAGAAAGGAGAUGAAACACAAGGAGGAGGAACAAAAAAAGAGGGAGAAGAAAGAGAUGAAAGAGCAGAAGAAAGUCAUGAAGGCUGAGAAGAAGAGGGAGAAGUUAGAACAGAAAAAGAGAGAGAAGGAAAGAAAAGAGAAGGAAAAGGCAGAGAAAAAGAGGUUAGAGGGGCUGAUGAAGAUACAUAAUGACAUGAUGAAAGACAGAAUUAAGAAAGAGAAGAAGUGUUCUGAGGAGCUGAAAAAGAGAGAGAAAGCUCAAGCUGCAUUCUUGGAGAUGGAGAGAAAGAUUCAAGAAAAGGAGGAGAAGAAGAGAGAAAAGAUGAGGAGAGAGGAGAGGAAGAGACUGGAGGAGAAGAAAAAGAGGGAACCAGCUGGAGGUGGAACUGAGACGGUGAUAGAAGAGCAGGGAAGGGAUGAAAGCUUGAAGAUGGAUGAGUAGACUGGGUAAUAGAGAGUAGGGAGGGAGGGAUAUGGUAUUUUUGCAUGCAAUGAAAAAACAAAGCAUUUAAAAAUAAAAUAAAAAAUGUUUACU